GAUUGAACGCUGGCGGCAGGCCUAACACAUGCAAGUCGAGCGGUAGCACAGAGAGCUUGCUCUCGGGUGACGAGCGGCGGACGGGUGAGUAAUGUCUGGGAAACUGCCUGAUGGAGGGGGAUAACUACUGGAAACGGUAGCUAAUACCGCAUAACGUCGCAAGACCAAAGUGGGGGACCUUCGGGCCUCAUGCCAUCAGAUGUGCCCAGAUGGGAUUAGCUAGUAGGUGGGGUAACGGCUCACCUAGGCGACGAUCCCUAGCUGGUCUGAGAGGAUGACCAGCCACACUGGAACUGAGACACGGUCCAGACUCCUACGGGAGGCAGCAGUGGGGAAUAUUGCACAAUGGGCGCAAGCCUGAUGCAGCCAUGCCGCGUGU
rnacentral:rRNA from 1 species